rnacentral:sRNA from 1 species
AAUCACUAUUCACUUAUUUUCUGCUUUGUAUGUUUAGGUCAUAUACCAUACCACAAAACAGUCCAUUUGAUGCACGGCGCUUAAGUUAGCGUCUGAAACAAUCUGUAGAAAAUGUCUGACAUUGGCUCAGUGGCUAGUGAUUUAAACAAAGCAGCCAAAAGAGCGUUCAAAUGUUUCAAAUGUCUUAAAAAGACGAACAAAGUGAAAAAUGAAAUCGUGAAAGAAGCCAAGAAACAGGAAAAGAAGGAGCAUAAAUUAGAACAUGGCGCCGAGCACGUGGAGCAUACUUCUCACAGUCUCGAGGCUGAAGUCGAACAUGGACAAGAAGAGAACAUGGAAUAGAACAUGGACACGAAGAGAACAUGGACACGAAGAGAACAUGGACACUAGCAGACCUAAAGUUGUAAACACGGACUAGCUUUAAACUUGCAUGAUUGAAUUUUAGUUCUUGAAAUUGUACAACUAUUCUAUGUAAAUAUUGUUCUUCAUCCUACAGGUUUGACUCGUUUAUUUCAUGCAUCCAUUUUGUACUGUCAUUAUUUAAUGGUGUUGCAUUUUGUUACAUUUGUAUGUGGGGCAGAUAGAAAGAAGCGAAGAAAGGGGAUUUAAAAGCCUGGGAAUUAAAUACUUCUACAUCUAAAAUACCACAA